AUUCCGCAGUCAAAACAAAGUUUUGUCCAGAAAAAGUUUUAUUUUAUCGCAUUUUUAGAGAAUUUUAAAAGUUAUUGAGUGCUAAAAGUAUUAAAAACCUUUUAAAUUAACCUAAUUUCAUUCAAACUUCCAUGGAAAUGGAUCGCAUUCCCGGGACAUCUGAAGAGAAAUUGUCAACCCAAAUACCGCAAAUAUCCCAAAAUGAGAGGCAAAACAUCCAAAUUUUGUCGAAUAUUCAAGUGAUUUUUGUGGAUUUUAAUGGAAAUUCUGCCAAAGAAACCAUCUGUGAUGAGGAAUUGCUGGAAACAGUUCCCAAAUUGAUUUUGAUAAUUUAAUACUGAAACACAUUCUGCUGAAGCCAAAGUCUAAACGUCCACCGAUGCCAAAGAAGAGAAAAAGUAAACUUCGAAAAAGUCCAAGAUUGUUGAAAAGUCGCUAAUCCACCUGUAGAUUUAAGAAUUUUAAAGUAAAAUUUUGAAAAAAUUUUGCACUAAAGUGUCAAUUAAUUUUA